AGAGUGGAAUUCCAUGUGUAGCGGUGGAAUGCGUAGAUAUAUGGAAGAACACCAGUGGCGAAGGCGGCUCUCUGGUCUGCAACUGACGCUGAGGCUCGAAAGCAUGGGUAGCGAACAGGAUUAGAUACCCUGGUAGUCCAUGCCGUAAACGAUGAGCGCUAGGUGUUGGGGACUUUCCGGUCCUCAGUGCCGCAGCAAACGCAUUAAGCGCUCCGCCUGGGGAGUACGACCGCAAGGUUGAAACUCAAAGGAAUUGACGGGGGCCCGCACAAGCGGUGGAGCAUGUGGUUUAAUUCGAAGCAACGCGAAGAACCUUACCAGGUCUUGACAUCCUGUGCUACACCUAGAGAUAGGUGGUUCCCUUCGGGGACGCAGAGACAGGUGGUGCAUGGCUGUCGUCAGCUCGUGUCGUGAGAUGUUGGGUUAAGUCCCGCAACGAGCGCAACCCUUGUCUUUAGUUGCCAUCAUUAAGUUGGGCACUCUAAAGAGACUGCCGGUGACAAACCGGAGGAAGGUGGGGAUGACGUCAAGUCAUCAUGCCCCUUAUGACCUGGGCUACACACGUGCUACAAUGGGCAGUACAACGAGAAGCGAACCCGCGAGGGUAAGCGGAUCUCUUAAAGCUGUUCUCAGUUCGGACUGCAGGCUGCAACUCGCCUGCACGAAGCUGGAAUCGCUAGUAAUCGCGGAUCAGCACGCCGCGGUGAAUACGUUCCCGGGCCUUGUACACACCGCCCGUCACACCAUGGAAGUCUGCAAUGCCCAAAGUCGGUGGGAUAACCUUUAUAGGAGUCAGCCGCCUAAGGCAGGGCAGAUGACUGGGGUGAAGUCGUAACAAGGUAGCCGUAGGAGAACCUGCGGCUGGAUCACCUCCUUUCUAAGGAA
rnacentral:rRNA from 1 species